rnacentral:rRNA from 1 species
AGAGUUUGAUCAUGGCUCAGAAUCAACGCUGGCGGCGUGCCUAACACAUGCAAGUCGAACGCGAAAGUGGAGCAAUCCAUGAGUAGAGUGGCAAACGGGUGAGUAACACGUGGGUGACCUGCCUUCGAGUGGGGGAUAACGUCCCGAAAGGGACGCUAAUACCGCAUAACAUGCUGUCUUUUAAGAGAGAGACAUCAAAGCCGGGGACCGCAAGGCCUGGCGCUUGAAGAGGGGCCCGCGCCUGAUUAGCUAGUUGGUGGGGUAAUGGCUCACCAAGGCAACGAUCAGUAUCCGGCCUGAGAGGGCGGACGGACACACUGGGACUGAGACACGGCCCAGACUCCUACGGGAGGCAGCAGUGGGGAAUUGUUCGCAAUGGGCGCAAGCCUGACGACGCAACGCCGCGUGGAGGAUGAAGACCUUCGGGUCGUAAACUCCUUUCGAUCGAGACGAACGGCCUCCGGGCUAACAUCCUGGAGGAGUGACGGUACCGAGAGAGAAGCCCCGGCUAACUCCGUGCCAGCAGCUGCGGUA